GGUUAAGCGACUAAGCGUACACGGUGGAUGCCCUGGCAGUCAGAGGCGAUGAAGGACGUGCUAAUCUGCGAAAAGCGCCGGCGAGGUGAUAUGAACCCUUGACCCGGCGAUGUCCGAAUGGGGAAACCCAGUGUGUUCCGACACACUAUCGUUAACUGAAUACAUAGGUUAACGAGGCGAACCGGGGGAACUGAAACAUCUAAGUACCCCGAGGAAAAGAAAUCAACCGAGAUUCCCCCAGUAGCGGCGAGCGAACGGGGAGCAGCCCGGAGUCUGAAUCAGCUUGUGUGUUAGUGGAACGGUCUGGAAAGUCCGACGGUACAGGGUGAUAGUCCCGUACACGAAAAUGCACAUGCUGUGAACUCGAAGAGUAGGGCGGGACACGUGGUAUCCUGUCUGAAUAUGGGGGGACCAUCCUCCAAGGCUAAAUACUCCUGACUGACCGAUAGUGAACCAGUACCGUGAGGGAAAGGCGAAAAGAACCCCGGCGAGGGGAGUGAAAAAGAACCUGAAACCGUGUACGUACAAGCAGUGGGAGCACCUUCGGGUGUGACUGCGUACCUUUUGUAUAAUGGGUCAGCGACUUAUAUUCUGUAGCAAGGUUAACCGUAUAGGGGAGCCGAAGGGAAACCGAGUCUUAACUGGGCGUUAAGUUGCAGGGUAUAGACCCGAAACCCGGUGAUCUAGCCAUGGGCAGGUUGAAGGUUGGGUAACACUAACUGGAGGACCGAACCGACUAAUGUUGAAAAAUUAGCGGAUGACCUGUGGCUGGGGGUGAAAGGCCAAUCAAACCGGGAGAUAGCUGGUUCUCCCCGAAAGCUAUUUAGGUAGCGCCUCGUGAACUCAUCUUCGGGGGUAGAGCACUGUUUCGGCUAGGGGGCCAUCCCGGCUUACCAACCCGAUGCAAACUACGAAUACCGAAGAAUGUUAUCACGGGAGACACACGGCGGGUGCUAACGUCCGUCGUGAAGAGGGAAACAACCCAGACCGCCAGCUAAGGUCCCAAAGUCAUGGUUAAGUGGGAAACGAUGUGGGAAGGCACAGACAGCCAGGAUGUUGGCUUAGAAGCAGCCAUCAUUUAAAGAAAGCGUAAUAGCUCACUGGUCGAGUCGGCCUGCGCGGAAGAUGUAACGGGGCUAAACCAUGCACCGAAGCUGCGGCAGCGACGCUUAUGUGUUGUUGGGUAGGGGAGCGUUCUGUAAGCCGUUGAAGGUGUGCUGUGAGGCAUGCUGGAGGUAUCAGAAGUGCGAAUGCUGACAUAAGUAACGAUAAAGCGGGUGAAAAGCCCGCUCGCCGGAAGACCAAGGGUUCCUGUCCAACGUUAAUCGGGGCAGGGUGAGUCGACCCCUAAGGCGAGGCCGAAAGGCGUAGUCGAUGGGAAACAGGUUAAUAUUCCUGUACUUGGUGUUACUGCGAAGGGGGGACGGAGAAGGCUAUGUCAGCCGGGCGACGGUUGUCCCGGUUUAAGCAUGUAGGCGGAGGUUCCAGGUAAAUCCGGUACCUUAUUAACGCUGAGGUGUGAUGACGAGGCACUACGGUGCUGAAGUGAUAAAUGCCCUGCUUCCAGGAAAAGCCUCUAAGCAUCAGGUAACACGAAAUCGUACCCCAAACCGACACAGGUGGUCAGGUAGAGAAUACCAAGGCGCUUGAGAGAACUCGGGUGAAGGAACUAGGCAAAAUGGUGCCGUAACUUCGGGAGAAGGCACGCUGAUAUGUAGGUGAAGCCCCUGCGGGCGGAGCUGAAAUCAGUCGAAGAUACCAGCUGGCUGCAACUGUUUAUUAAAAACACAGCACUGUGCAAACACGAAAGUGGACGUAUACGGUGUGACGCCUGCCCGGUGCCGGAAGGUUAAUUGAUGGGGUUAGCGGCAACGCGAAGCUCUUGAUCGAAGCCCCGGUAAACGGCGGCCGUAACUAUAACGGUCCUAAGGUAGCGAAAUUCCUUGUCGGGUAAGUUCCGACCUGCACGAAUGGCGUAAUGAUGGCCAGGCUGUCUCCACCCGAGACUCAGUGAAAUUGAACUCGCUGUGAAGAUGCAGUGUACCCGCGGCAAGACGGAAAGACCCCGUGAACCUUUACUAUAGCUUGACACUGAACACUGGUCCUUGAUGUGUAGGAUAGGUGGGAGGCUUUGAAGCGUGGACGCCAGUCUGCGUGGAGCCGUCCUUGAAAUACCACCCUUUAAUGGCUGGUGUUCUAACGUAGACCCGUGAUCCGGGUUGCGGACAGUGUCUGGUGGGUAGUUUGACUGGGGCGGUCUCCUCCCAAAGAGUAACGGAGGAGCACGAAGGUUGGCUAAUCCUGGUCGGACAUCAGGAGGUUAGUGCAAUGGCAUAAGCCAGCUUGACUGCGAGCGUGACGGCGCGAGCAGGUGCGAAAGCAGGUCAUAGUGAUCCGGUGGUUCUGAAUGGAAGGGCCAUCGCUCAACGGAUAAAAGGUACUCCGGGGAUAACAGGCUGAUACCGCCCAAGAGUUCAUAUCGACGGCGGUGUUUGGCACCUCGAUGUCGGCUCAUCACAUCCUGGGGCUGAAGUAGGUCCCAAGGGUAUGGCUGUUCGCCAUUUAAAGUGGUACGCGAGCUGGGUUUAGAACGUCGUGAGACAGUUCGGUCCCUAUCUGCCGUGGGCGCUGGAGAAUUGAGGGGGGCUGCUCCUAGUACGAGAGGACCGGAGUGGACGCAUCACUGGUGUUCGGGUUGUCAUGCCAAUGGCACUGCCCGGUAGCUAAAUGCGGAAGAGAUAAGUGCUGAAAGCAUCUAAGCACGAAACUUGCCCCGAGAUGAGUUCUCCCUGAGACCUUGAGUCUCCUGAAGGAACGUUGAAGACGACGACGUUGAUAGGUCGGGUGUGUAAGCGCAGCGAUGCGUUGAGCUAACCGAUACUAAUGAACCGUGAGGCUUAACCUU
rnacentral:rRNA from 1 species